GGAAUGGCUGUAGCUCAGUGGUAGAGCAUCUGCUUUGUAUGCAGAAGGUCCAGGGUUCAAUCCCCAGCACCUCCA